rnacentral:rRNA from 1 species
AUUGAACGCUGGCGGCAGGCGUAACACAUUCAAGUCGAGCGGAGCGGCGGACGGGUGAGUAAUGCCUAGGAAUCUGCCUGGUAGUGGGGGAUAACGUCCGGAAACGGGCGCUAAUACCGCAUAAUCUCAGCUGCGCCUAGGUCGGAUUAGCUAGUUGGUGGGGUAAAGGCCUACCAAGGCGACGAUCCGUAACUGGUCUGAGAGGAUGAUCAGUAACACUGGAACUGAGACACUGUCCAGACUCCUGCGGGAGGCAGCAGUGGGGAAUCUUUGACAAUGGGCUCAAGCCUGAUCCAGCCAGGCCGCGUGUGUGAAUAAGGUCUUCGGAUUUUAAAGCACUUUAAGUUAGGAGCCGUUACCAACAGAAUAAGCACCGGCUAACUUCGUGCCAGCAGCCGCGGUAAUUC